CAGCUAUUUCAAACCAUAAAGAUGAGGGCUGUCCCCUAGGGAUGGUAGAACUAAGAGCCAGAAAAGACUAAGUUCUCGAUAAUCAUUUGGAACUGCAAUAGUGGUCCUGGACUACCUAUCUCUAGACUUCUUUUACAUAGGGAGAAAUAUACUUCUCUGUGAAGCCACAACCUUUUAGGAUUUUCUGUCACUUGCAGGUGAAUAUAAAUCUGUUGGAUACAAUAUUGUGUGCAUGGUAGGUGGGCCGUCAGUGGUGAGCCGGGGCUGCCAUUCAGGCUCCACCUACUCAGAAGUCCUCGGGCAGCAUUUAAGGACACGAAUCACCUGACUUCACUGCGGGGAAAUCCUCUCACGGCAUGACUUCCUGUCACAGUAGAAUAGAACCCACGCUCCGACCCAUGACCUACAGCUCUCAGCAUGCUCACUCUAAGAGCUCUGCCAGCUUACAGCCCUCACGUCCUCAUGGUGCCAGCAGCCUCCAAACCUGGUCCUGCGACACAGGAUCUCUGUUGGUUCCUCAUCCUGGGAUGCUUUUCCCAGACCCUCCAUGUCUAGCUCCUUCCUCCCAUUAUCUGACAGCUCUGUGGAAUGCAACCCCACCCACCCAUCAUCACUAUCUCCCAUUCUGCCUUAGUUUCUUCCUUCGUUCUUCCUUUUCUUUUUGACAAGGUCUUGCUCUGUUGCCCAGGCUGGAGUUCAAUAGUGCAAUCAUGGCUCACUGCAGCCUCAACCUCCUUGAUCCUUGAUCCUCCCAUCUCAGCCUCCCAGGUAGCUGGGACCACAGGUGUAAGCCACCAAACCUGGCUAAUUUUUGUUGUUGUUGUUUGCGUUUUUGAGAAAGGGUCUCACUCUGUUGCUCCCUGGGUUCAAGUGAUUCUCCCAUCUGAGCCUCCCGAGUAUCUGGGACUAUAGGCACGUGCCACUACGCCCGGCUAAUUUUUGUUUUUGUUUUUGCUUUUGUUUUUGUUUGAGACUGAGUCUCACUCUGUUGCCCAGGCUGGAGUGUAGUGGUGCAAUCUCCACUCACCGCAACCUCCACCUCCUGGGUUCAAGCGAUUCUCCUGCCUCAGUCUCCCAAGUAGCUGGGAUUACAGGCGCAUGCCACUAUGCCCGGCUAAUUUUUGUAUUUUUAGUAGAGAUGGGGUUUUGCCAUGUUGGCCAGGCUGGUCUUGAACUCCUGACCUCAGGUGAUCCACCCACCUCAGCCUCCCAAAGUGCUAGGAUUACAGGCAUGAGCCACUGCACCCAGCCAGACUUGCUAAUUUUUGUAUUUUUUUUGUAGAGACGGAGUUUCACUAUGUUGCCCAGGCUGGUCUUGAACUUCUGGGCCAAGUGAUCUGCCAAAGUGCUGGGAUUACAUGUGUGAACCACCAUGACUGGCCUGCCUUAGUUUUCUUAGUAGUAUUUAUCCCUGCCUAAAAUUCUCUUCGAUGACUAUUGUCUUACACAUGCAUUUGUUUACUGAUUUCUCUCCUUCCCUAGAACGUACAAGUUCCAUGGAAGCAGAGACUUAGUUGGCUUGUUCACCACUCUAUCUCCAAUGCCUAGAUGGUGGCUGGCACUCAUGAGGAGCUCAAUAAAUAUAUGUUGAAUGAAUGGAUG
rnacentral:lncRNA from 1 species